GAUGAACGCUAGCGGCAGGCCUAACACAUGCAAGUCGAGGGGUAGAAGCAGCUUGCUGCUUUGAGACCGGCGCACGGGUGCGUAACGCGUAUGCAAUCUACCUUUUACUAAGGAAUAGCCCAGAGAAAUUUGGAUUAAUGCCUUAUGGUAUAUUUGAAUGGCAUCAUUUAAAUAUUAAAGAUUUAUUGGUAAAAGAUGAGCAUGCGUCCCAUUAGUUAGUUGGUAAGGUAACGGCUUACCAAGACGAUGAUGGGUAGGGGUCCUGAGAGGGAGAUCCCCCACACUGGUGCUGAGACACGGACCAGACUCCUACGGGAGGCAGCAGUGAGGAAUAUUGGUCAAUGGAGGCAACUCUGAACCAGCCAUGCCGCGUGCAGGAUGACGGUCCUAUGGAUUGUAAACUGCUUUUGUACAGGAAGAAAAAGAGUUACGUGUAGCUUAUUGACGGUACUGUAAGAAUAAGGAUCGGCUAACUCCGUGCCAGCCGCCGCGGUAA
rnacentral:rRNA from 1 species